CUCUCUCUCUCUCUCUCUCAACAAACAUGGAUGCCUGCAGUCACGUACAAAUAGACAACUUAACAAAAAUUCUUUGAACUAUUUAAAGUAUGCUACAGGGGUCCUUUUCCUCCAUUUAGCUUUAUCUAGGGGCUUUUAUUUUGUGGCGUCAUAAUGGAUUAGUGACCAGGCCUCUUCUCACAGCCUAAAUCAUGUGUUUAGCCUUCUCCUCGUCUUUUGAAUCCAUUCAACUUGAAAUAUUUCAUUCCUUUCUGGUGUUUCCUUGGUCUUUGCUGUAGACAACUGAAACAUUGCAGUCAACUAUCAUAUAAUGUUCUCAAUUUUGGGUGAAUGAAAUUGUUUCUGUUAAAGCAUUCAGCUCAAAACCACUUGGCAAUGAGUAGAGGGGCCUCUCAAGUAUAUUAACCAAGCUUGGGUGGUUUAGAGAGAUGAUGUGUGACAAGUCUAACACUUCCCCGCACAUGCAACCCGGAUAACAUGUGGAGGUGAUAGAGAGAUGAGAGGGGAGAGAUUAGACUUUGGGCCGAGACUUACCCCCCAAUACCCAUCUUUGAUACUAUGUUAAUGUGUCUUACUCAAAGCCAAUUUGCAAUGAGUGGAGGGGCCUCUCAAGUAUAUUAACCAAGCUUGGUUGGUUUAGAGAGAUAAUGUGGGACAAGUCUAAUAGUUUCAAUCCAUCUUUUGUUCUCUGCCACUUAUUCAUCGAAGCACAUUGCAUUUUAGCUAAGCAAAUUACAGUAAAUGUGCUUUGGAUAGCUUACAUUAUUGUCACCAAUUUCCCCAAAAGCCUAAGCUGUUAGGAAAUGGGCCCAACAAUGUAUCUCAAGUUAUCUAACACCCUCCCUAUGUGCCAAUCGGUCUUGCAUGUGGAGAGACAAACAAAGAACCCCAACAAUGUAUAUCAAGUUAUCUAACACCCUCCCUCAUGUGCAAAUUGGUCUUGCAUGUAGAGAGACAAACAAAGAACCAAACAGAAGGAGAAACAAACAACCAAAUAGAGAGGAAAAAACCAAAUGGGGACAUAAUUCCAAAUGCAAACGGAGAGACUUGAACCCAGGAUCUCUCUCAACUAGAGCUCUAAUACCAUGUUAAGUUACCAAAUUUCCCAAAAGCCUAAGCUGUUAGGACAUGGACUGAACAAUGUAUGUCAAGCUAUCUAACAAUUAUAUACCAUAAUGCAUGGCUACCCUGAUAACCUUAAAACCUUUCGAUUUAGUUUUAUAUGUAUAUGGUGAAUACAAUAGAAAACGCAAAAUGUCUAGGCGCACAGACGACCAAACAUAGAUCCGAACACAGAAACUGUGCAUCUGGACGACCGGCCAGAGCUUGUUGACCGCGGCUGUCAUGGUGUCUUCCGGUCGUUCGAGCGGUCAUCUAGCUGGUCGUCUGGUGGAACAGUUUCUGUGUUUGGCCCUCAGUGUCUGUAGCAUUGUUGCUAGAAAACAUGAAGAACAUUUGUCUUUUGCCUUACUCCAAGUUGCACAUCCUCUUAAAAGAAAUAAACACAAGGAGAACAUGGGUUGAGGUGUUAAGAAAGGAUGAUUUCCAUAAACUUAACUGAUGAUAUGACUUCAAAUGGAGCCAACUAGUGGAAAUUGAUUCAUGUAUCUAACCCUAAAUAAUUGGAACAACAGGUUGUUGAGUUGAGUUGGAGUCAGUAUGACUUCUGGCAUGGCUGAGGAUGACUCAAUAUUGUACAUAUACAAAAUUUCAAUUGUUUAUCAUUUUCUUAUGUUUACUUCACUUAUUUUCUUUGUUGAUGUCAGCUUCCUAAAAGUUAGAAUUGAUGCAGGCAUUACUCUUGUUAGCGUAUUAUAUUAGCCGAAAGGUACACUAGGGUCUGUCUGUAAUCAUUUUAUGCACUCAGGGAUAGCACUCAGGGAUCAUCUUGUAAUUGCCUUUCUUGUAAACCCUAAAUCUUCAUUUAUAAAUAGGGGGUGAUAUUCUAUCAUUCCCCAAGCUGGUUACCCAA